UACGAAGGGUGCAAGCGUUACUCGGAAUUACUGGGCGUAAAGCGUGCGUAGGUGGUUUGUUAAGUCUGCUGUGAAAGCCCCGGGCUCAACCUGGGAAUGGCAGUGGAUACUGGCAAGCUAGAGUGCGGUAGAGGGGUGUGGAAUUCCCGGUGUAGCGGUGAAAUGCGUAGAGAUCGGGAGGAACACCAGUGGCGAAGGCGGCUUCCUGGCCUGUAACUGACGCUGAGACGCGAAAGCGUGGGGAGCGAACCGG
rnacentral:rRNA from 1 species